CCUCUCAUGUGCGUAGUGGUAACGCGCCCCAACUAGAGAUCGGGGAGUCGUGAGUUCGAUUCUCACUGAGAAGA
rfam:Aedes aegypti strain Liverpool supercont1.398 genomic scaffold, whole genome shotgun sequence.